rnacentral:rRNA from 1 species
AAUGAACGUUGGCGGCGUGGAUUAGGCAUGCGAGUCGAGCGAGAACCGUAGCAAUACGGGGACAGCGGCGAAAGGGACAGUAACGGGUAGAUUAUCUGCCCUCAGGUUUGGGAUAGCUGCGGGAAACUGCAAGUAAUACCAAAUAAUAUCUCCGGAUCAAAGGUGUGAUUCCGCCUGAGGAUGAGUCUGCCUCCUAUUAGCUUGUUGGUGGGGUAACGGCCUACCAAGGCAUUGGGGGGUAGCGGGUGUGAGAGCACGACCCGCGUCAUUGGGACUGAGACACUGCCCGGACACCUACGGGUGGCUGCAGUCGAGAAUCUUCGGCAAUGGACGCAAGUCUAACCGAGCGACGCCGCGUGUGGGAUGAAGGCCUUCGGGUUGUAAACCACUGUCAGAGGGGAUGAAAUGCAGGUGGGUACUCCCAUUUGUUUGACAUAGCCUCAGAGGAAGUACGGGCUAAGUUCGUGCCAGCCGCCGCCGUAA